GAUGAACGCUGGCGGCGUGCCUAAUACAUGCAAGUCGAGCGAACGGACGAGAAGCUUGCUUCUCUGAUGUUAGCGGCGGACGGGUGAGUAACACGUGGAUAACCUACCUAUAAGACUGGGAUAACUUCGGGAAACCGGAGCUAAUACCGGAUAAUAUUUUGAACCGCAUGGUUCAAAAGUGAAAGACGGUCUUUCUGUCACUUAUAGAUGGAUCCGCGCUGCAUUAGCUAGUUGGUAAGGUAACGGCUUACCAAGGCAACGAUGCAUAGCCGACCUGAGAGGGUGAUCGGCCACACUGGAACUGAGACACGGUCCAGACUCCUACGGGAGGCAGCAGUAGGGAAUCUUCCGCAAUGGGCGAAAGCCUGACGGAGCAACGCCGCGUGAGUGAUGAAGGUCUUCGGAUCGUAAAACUCUGUUAUUAGGGAAGAACAUAUGUGUAAGUAACUGUGCACAUCUUGACGGUACCUAAUCAGAAAGCCGCGGCUAACUACGUG
rnacentral:rRNA from 1 species